rnacentral:lncRNA from 1 species
GGGGAGUUGGGUGCCAGUGUGCAGAGGUUAAAUCUUUGUCUAUGACACUGCUUUUCAGGAUGAAACUAAUGGAAUAACAUCAACUAAGCCUUGCUGCUUCUCAGGCCCUGAGGAAUGGAGUGUACUAAUUAUGUACUCUGAAGCUAUAGGUGAGGAAACCUAGGCUCAAGUUGACACUCAAGCUCACCUUGCAAGAUAGUGGCAGAGCUGAUAAGUUGCAGCAAAGAAAUGGGAAUAUAGAAAAUGGUGGUAAAAACAGCAGUAGCAGCAGAAGCAAGGAGAGAAUCCAGAUGUCACCUUUGCAGGAAGUC